rnacentral:rRNA from 1 species
AGACUCCUACGGGGGCAGCAGUGAGGAAUAUUGGACAAUGGAGGAGACUCUGAUCCAGCCAUGCCGCGUGCAGGAAGACGGCCCUAUGGGUUGUAAACUGCUUUUAUACAGGAAGAAACCUAUCUACGUGUAGAUAGCUGACGGUACUGUAAGAAUAAGCACCGGCUAACUCCGUGCCAGCAGCCGCGGUAAUACGGAGGGUGCAAGCGUUAUCCGGAAUCAUUGGGUUUAAAGGGUCCGUAGGCGGCUUAUUAAGUCAGAGGUGAAAUCCCACAGCUUAACUGUGGAACUGCCUUUGAUACUGGUAGGCUUGAGUUAUAAGGAAGUAGAUAGAAUAUGUAGUGUAGCGGUGAAAUGCAUAGAUAUUACAUAGAAUACCGAUUGCGAAGGCAGUCUACUACUUAUAUACUGACGCUAAUGGACGAAAGCGUGGGGAGCGAACAGGAUUAGAUACCCUGGUAGUCCACGCCGUAAACGAUGGACACUAGUUGUUGGAUUAUUUCAGUGACUAAGCGAAAGUGAUAAGUGUCCCACCUGGGGAGUACGAUCGCAAGAUUGAAACUCAAAGGAAUUGACGGGGGCCCGCACAAGAGAU